GGGGCUAUGGUUCAGUGGUAGAGCAUCUGCUUUGCAUGUGGAUGGUCGUGGGUUCAAUCCCUGGCAUCUCCCA
rnacentral:tRNA from 1 species